AUUGAACGCUGGCGGCAUGCCUUACACAUGCAAGUCGAACGGUAACAGGUCUUCGGAUGCUGACGAGUGGCGAACGGGUGAGUAAUACAUCGGAACGUGCCUAGUAGUGGGGGAUAACUACUCGAAAGAGUGGCUAAUACCGCAUGAGAUCUACGGAUGAAAGCAGGGGAUCGCAAGACCUUGUGCUACUAGAGCGGCCGAUGGCAGAUUAGGUAGUUGGUGGGAUAAAAGCUUACCAAGCCGACGAUCUGUAGCUGGUCUGAGAGGACGAUCAGCCACACUGGGACUGAGUAACGGCCCAGACUCCUACGGGAGGCAGCAGUGGGGAAUUUUGGACAAUAGGCGAAAGCCUGAUCCAGCAAUGCCGCGUGCAGGAUGAAGGCCUUCGGGUUGUAAACUGCUUUUGUACGGAACGAAAAGCCCCGGGUUAAUACCCUGGGGUCAUGACGGUACCGUAAGAAUAAGCACCGGCUAACUACGUGCCAGCCGCCGCCGUAA
rnacentral:rRNA from 1 species